AGUGAACGCUGGCGGUAGGCCUAACACAUGCAAGUCGAACGGCAGCACAGUAAGAGCUUGCUCUUACGGGUGGCGAGUGGCGGACGGGUGAGGAAUACAUCGGAAUCUACUUUUUCGUGGGGGAUAACGUAGGGAAACUUACGCUAAUACCGCAUACGACCUACGGGUGAAAGCAGGGGAUCUUCGGACCUUGCGCGAUUGAAUGAGCCGAUGUCGGAUUAGCUAGUUGGCGGGGUAAAGGCCCACCAAGGCGACGAUCCGUAGCUGGCCUGAGAGGAUGAUCAGUCACACUGGAACUGAGACACGGUCCAGACUCCUACGGGAGGCAGCAGUGGGGAAUAUUGGACAAAGGGCGCAAGCCUGAUCCAGCCAUACCGCGUGGGUGAAGAAGGCCUUCGGGUUGUAAAGCCCUUUUGUUGGGAAAGAAAAGCAGCAGGUUAAUACCCCGCUGUUCUGACGGUACCCAAAGAAUAAGCACCGGCUAACUUCGUG
rnacentral:rRNA from 1 species